rnacentral:rRNA from 1 species
UACAGAGGUCACAAGCGUUAUCCGGAUUUAUUGGGCGUAAAGCGUUUCGUAGGUGGGUUCAUAAGUUAUCCUUUAAAGACUACGGCUCAACCGGAGGAAGGGGGAUAAUACUGUGAGUCUUGAUUUUUGGCGGGGCAUCUGGAACUGAUGGUGUAGUAGUGAAAUACGUUGAUAUCAUCAGGAACUCCAAGGCGAAGGCAGGAUGCUAGCCAAUAUGACACUGAGGAACGACAGCUAGGGGAGCGAAAGGG